AGCUGCCCACCUGCCCCGGACAGCCAGGCGCUAGCCAGCCGCUCUGCGCCCCGCGCCCUGCUUGCCUCCAUUAUCCAGCCUUGCCCCGGCGCCCUCACCUGACGCCCUGGCCUGACGCCCUGCUUCGUUGCCUCCUUUGUCUCCCAGGUGCUGGACCAGGGACUCAGCGUCCCCCGGAGAGGGUCCGGUGUGACCCCGACAAGAAGCAGAAAUGGGGAAGAAACUGGAUCUUUCCAAGCUCACUGAUGAAGAGGCCCAGCAUGUCUUGAAAGUUGUUCAACGAGAUUUUGACCUCCGAAGGAAAGAAGAGGAACGACUAGAGGGGUUGAAGGGCAAGAUUAAGAAGGAAAGCUCCAAGAGGGAGCUGCUUUCAGACACUGCCCAUCUGAACGAGACCCACUGUACCCACUGCCUGCAGCCCUACCGGAUGCUUGUGAAUAGCAAAAGGCAGUGCCUGGAAUGUGGCCUCUUCACCUGCAAAAGCUGUGGCCACGUCCACCCGGAGGAGCAGGGAUGGCUCUGUGACCCCUGCCAUCUGGCCAGAGUCGUGAAGAUCGGCUCACUGGAGUGGUACUAUGAGCACGUGAAAGCCCGCUUCAAGAGGUUCGGAAGUGCCAAGGUCAUCCGGUCCCUCCAUGGGCGGCUGCAGGGUGGAGCUGGGCCUGAACCAAUCUCUGAAGAGAGAAGUAGAGACAGCGACCAGACAGAUGAGGAUGGAGAACGGGACUCAGAGGCCCAGGCCCAGGCCUUUGGCAGCAAAAAAAAGCGCCUCCUCUCCGUCCACGACUUCGACUUCGAGGGAGACUCAGAUGACUCCACUCAGCCUCAAGGUCACUCCCUGCACCUGUCCUCAUUCCGUGAGGCCAGGGACAGCCCACAGUCCCUCACAGAUGAGUCCUGCUCGGAGAAGGCAGCCCCCCACAGGGCUGAGGGCCUGGAGGAGGCUGACACUGGGGCCUCUGGGUACCACUCCCAUCCGGAAGAGCAGCGGACCAGCAUCUCGCCUUCCGGACACCGCGCCCUGGCUGAGCUCUGCCCGCCUGGAGGCUCCCACGGGAUGGCCCUGGGGACCACUGCUGCACUCGGGUCGAAUGUCAUCAGGAACGAGCAGCUGCCCCUGCAGUACUUGGCUGAUGUGGACACCUCUGAUGAAGACAGCAUCCAGGCUCACGUGAUGGCCUCCCAUCAUUCCAAGCGGAGAGGCCGGGCGUCCUCUGAGAGUCAGAUCUUUGAGCUGAAUAAGCGUAUUUCGGCUGUGGAAUGCCUGCUGACCUACCUGGAGAACACAGUUGUGCCUCCCUUGGCCAAGGGUCUAGGUGCUGGAGUGCGCACGGAGGCCGAUGUAGAGGAGGAGACCCUGAGGAGGAAGCUGGAGGAGCUGACCAGCAACGUCAGUGACCAGGGGACCUCGUCUGAGGAGGAGGAAGCCAAGGAUGAAAAGGCAGAGUCUAACAGGGGCAAAUCAGUUGGGGCUCUCCCCCAGGCAGACCCAGAGGUGGGCACGGCUGCGCAUCAAACCAACAGACAGGAAAAGAGCCCCCAGGGCCCUGGGCAACCCGUCCAGCACAACAGGACCACAGAUGAGGAGCUGUCGGAGCUGGAGGACAGAGUGGCAGUGACAGCCUCAGAAGUACAGCGGGCAGAGAGCGAGGUUUCAGACAUCGAAUGCCGGAUUGCAGCGCUGAGGGCCGCAGGGCUCACAGUGAAGCCCUCGGGAAAGCCCCGGAGGAAGUCAAACCUCCCGGCUCUUUAUGAGGGGACUCUGAGCCUCUGCUCUGAGGAUCUGAAACACUCACACACUCACAGUGUAAAAUCCAAAAGGAGCCGCCUGAAUCAUGUUGCCUCAUGUUGAAAGCCUUAGUCCGCUGCCACGUGAAGAUGGAUGUGACUAGAACGGAUGGCGCAGGAGGCUCACAUCAGCGUCAGAUAUUUCUCCCUCGAGUGGCUGGGAAACUUGGCAAGAGACCAGAAGACCCAAAUGCAGACCCUUCAAGUGAGGCCAAGGCAACGGCUGUGCCCUAUCUUCUGAGAAGAAAGUUCAGUAAUUCCCUGAAAAGUCAAGGCAAAGAUGAUGAUUCUUUUGAUCGGAAAUCAGUGUACCGAGGCUCGCUGACACAGAGAAACCCCAACGCGAGGAAAGGAAUGGCCAGCCACACCUUCGCGAAACCUGUGGUGGCCCACCAGCCCUAACAGGACAGGACAGAGCAGCCCUGCACUCUUUUCCCUCCACCACAGCCAUCCUGUCCCUCACUGGCUCUGUACUUUCCACUGUAUACAGUCACCAUCCCAGUGAGAGACAAGAAGGAGCGCCCUCCACGUGGACUCCCACCUGCAAGUGGACAGCAACAUUCAGUCCUGCACUGCUCACCUGGGUUUACUGAUGACUCCUGGCUGCCCCACCAGCCUCUCUGAUCUGUGAGAAACAGCUAAGCUGCUGUGACUUCCCUUUAGGACAAUGUUGUGUAAAUCUUUGAAAGACACACCGAAGACCUUUAUACUGUGAUCUUUUACCCCUUUCACUCUUGGCUUUCUUAUGUUGCUUUCAUGAAUGGAAUGGAAAAAGAGAUGACUCAGUUACGGCACCAGCCAUAUGUGUAUUCUUGAUGAUCUAUAUCAGGGCGUGAGCAGAUGUUUGCGUAUUUCUUGUGGGUGUGAUUGGAAAUUAGGCAUCCAGACAAGUGACUGAACUAAUGAUCUGCUGAAUAAUGAAGGAGGAAUAGACACCCCGGCCCCCACCCUACAUGCACCUGCUCUGCAAGUUCCCAUGUGAUCUGUAAACCAGGGGAAAUUACACUGUGGUCAAGGGCAGAGCCUGCACAUGACAGCAAGUGAGCAUUUGAUAGAUGCUCAGAUGCUAGUGCAGAGAGCCUGCUAGGAGAGGGAGAGACAGCAGGCAGAGCUCCAGAUGGGCAGGGAAGAGGCCUGGUUCUAGCCUGGCUCUGCCACUCACUGCAGUGGAUCCAGUGGGGCAGAGGACAGAGGGUCACAACCAAUGAGGGAUGUCUGCCAAGGAUGGGGGUGCAGAGACCACAAGAGUCAGCUUGCCACUCGCCCACUGGUUACAUAGAUGAUCUCCCCUCAGACAGCCUGGGACUCAGAGUUAUUUCCUAGUAUCUGUGUGCCCCAUCCAGUUUUAAGUGGAGCCCUCCGAGACUCUCCAGAGCUGCCUUUGAACAUCCUAACAGUAAUCACAUCUCCCCCUCCCUGAAGUUCACUCUAGACAGGACCCAGUGGCUGCACUGCCUUUGUCAGAGGGGGUGCUGAGAGGAGUGGCUUCUUUUGGAAUCAAACAGUAGAGACAAGAGUCAAGCCUUGUGUCUUCAAGGGUUGACCAAAUUAAGUGUUUCCUGCCCUCUCUGAAUAAGACACUUCCAGGAGCUCUCCAAUCUCUUACUUAAAACUAAGGUUUGAAUCUCAAAGUGUUUUGCUGGGAGGCAGAUACUCCUGCAUCUUCAGGAGACCUGUGAGCACACAUUAGCAGCUGUUUCUCUGACUCUUUGUGGCAUCAGAUAAAAAUGUGGGAGUUUUUCCAUAUAAUUCCCAGCAUUGCUUAUAAAUUCUAUUCUUUGAAAAAAUUAUUCAGGCUAGGCAAGGUGGCUCAUACCUAUAAUCCCAGCCCUUUGAGAGGCCAAGGUGGGAGAAUUGUUUGAGGCCAGGAGUUCGAGACCUCCUGGGCAACAUAGUGAGAUCUCAUCUCUACAAAAAGCAAAACAAAAAAAUUACCCAAGCAUGAUGGUAUAUGCCUGUAGUCCUACCUACUUAGGAGGCUGAGGCAGGAGGAUCACUUGAACCCUGGAGGUUGAGGCUGCAGUGAGCCAUGAUCACAUCACUAUACUCGAGCCUGGGCAACACAGUGAGACCUUGUCUCUUAAAAAAAUUAAUAAUAAAUGAAAAUAAUUCUUCAGAGUUC